rnacentral:tRNA from 1 species
CGGGGAUUAGUUUAACGGUAGAAUGCGCGGCUGGGGGUCGUGCGGCUGGGGUUCAAUUCCCCGAUCCCCGA